rnacentral:misc_RNA from 1 species
UCCGUGUUGACCACGGCAGUAUCCCAUGAGUUCCCGGCAUAACCCGCUGGCAACAUAGGACGAGGGUUGCGCUCGUUGCCGGACUUAACCGAACAUCUCACGACACGAGCUGACGACAACCAUGCACCACCUGUAUAGAAGUGUCCAAAGAGUUGACGAUCUCUCGCCCGUUCUUCUAUAUGUCAAGCCUUGGUAAGGUUCUUCGCGUUGCAUCGAAUUAAUCCGCAUGCUCCACCGCUUGUGCGGGCCCCCGUCAAUUCCUUUGAGUUUUAGCCUUGCGGCCGUACUCCCCAGGCGGGGAACUUAAUGCGUUAGCUACGACACAGAACCCGUGGAACAGGCCCUACAUCUAGUUCCCAACGUUUACGGCAUGGACUAC